UACGUAGGGUGCGAGCGUUAAUCGGAAUUACUGGGCGUAAAGCGUGCGCAGGCGGCGCGUUAAGACAGGUGUGAAAGCCCCGAGCUUAACUUGGGAAUUGCGCUUGUGACUGGCGUGCUGGAGUGUGGCAGAGGGAGGUGGAAUUCCACGUGUAGCAGUGAAAUGCGUAGAGAUGUGGAGGAACACCGAUGGCGAAGGCAGCCUCCUGGGUCAGCACUGACGCUCAUGCACGAAAGCGUGGGGAGCAAACAGG
rnacentral:rRNA from 1 species